GAGAGAGAGAGACAGUGAGAGAGAGAGAGAGAGAGACAGUGAGAGAGAGAGAGAGACAGAGAGAGAGACAGUGAGAGAGAGAGAGAGAGAGACAGUGAGAGAGAGAGAGAGAGAGACAGUGAGAGAGACAGAGAGAGAGAGAGAGACAGUGAGACAGAGAGAGAGAGAGAGACAGUGAGAGAGAGAGAGACAGUGAGAGAGAGAGAGGUGAGUGAGACACAGUGAGUGAGAGAGCGAGAGAGAGGUGAGUGAGACAGUGAGUGAGAGAGAGACAGUGAGAGAGAGAGAGAGAGAGAGAGAGACAGUGAGAGAGAGAGAGAGAGAGAGAGACAGUGAGAGAGAGACAGUGAGAGAGAGAGAGAGACAGUGAGAGAG
ensembl:lncRNA